rnacentral:rRNA from 1 species
GUCGACGAUACCUUCGGGUAUAGUGGCGCACGGGUGAGUAACACGUGGGAAUAUACCUUUCAGUGGGGGAUAACAUCGGGAAACUGAUGCUAAUACCGCAUACGCCCUUAGGGGGAAAGAUUUAUCGCUGAAAGAUUAGCCCGCGUCCGAUUAGCUAGUUGGUGAGGUAAUGGCUCACCAAGGCGACGAUCGGUAGCUGGUCUGAGAGGAUGACCAGCCACACUGGGACUGAGACACGGCCCAGACUCCUACGGGGGGCAGCAGUGGGGAAUAUUGGACAAUGGGCGCAAGCCUGAUCCAGCCAUGCCGCGUGAGUGAUGAAGGCCUUAGGGUUGUAAAGCUCUUUCGACGGGGACGAUGAUGACGGUACCCGUAGAAGAAGCCCCGGCUAACUUCGUGCCAGCAGCCGCGGUAAUACGAAGGGGGCUAGCGUUGUUCGGAAUUACUGGGCGUAAAGCGCACGCAGGCGGUUCGAUUAG